rnacentral:rRNA from 1 species
AGUGAACGCUGGCGGUAGGCCUAACACAUGCAAGUCGAACGGCAGCACAGUAAGAGCUUGCUCUUACGGGUGGCGAGUGGCGGACGGGUGAGGAAUACAUCGGAAUCUACUUUUUCGUGGGGGAUAACGUAGGGAAACUUACGCUAAUACCGCAUACGACCUACGGGUGAAAGCAGGGGAUCUUCGGACCUUGCGCGAUUGAAUGAGCCGAUGUCGGAUUAGCUAGUUGGCGGGGUAAAGGCCCACCAAGGCGACGAUCCGUAGCUGGUCUGAGAGGGUGAUCAGCCACACUGGGACUGAGACACGGUCCAGACUCCUACGGGAGGCAGCAGUGGGGAAUAUUGGACAAUGGGCGCAAGCCUGAUCCAGCCAUACCGCGUGGGUGAAGAAGGCCUUCGGGUUGUAAAGCCCUUUUGUUGGGAAAGAAAAGCAGCAGGUUAAUACCCCGCUGUUCUGACGGUACCCAAAGAAUAAGCACCGGCUAACUUCGUG